rnacentral:lncRNA from 1 species
CUACGACAAAACACUGCAGAUACGGCGUGCUCAGUUUCAUGCCAGGUAUUCUGAAACAGAACAGGAAAGGGGGACAGUGUCUUGCCCUUAACCUCCUUCUGGUGGAUGAGGCGGACAACAAGCAAGCAAACCUGUGCCCUGUUGUCCAGCUGUGCCCCGUGUUCGGAAGAAAAGUCCAAGCAGGGUCAGAGGUGUGAGCUGUUUUAGGCCAGGGAAGUCCGGCCUCCCAAGGAGGCAGCAUUUGAGCAGCGAACUGAAUGGAGGACCGAAGGAUGGAGCAGAGCAGGCACCCGGGAGGAGGACGGGAGAUUUGUGCUUUCCCCGGGUCCUGCCUGCCGUCUUCUGGCUGGAGACGGUGGCUGGGGGAGCCGGAGAUCAGGAGCGUGUUGCAGUGAGAACCGAGUCCCUGACGCGGGCUCCAAGCGGAUUGGAGGGUCGGUGGCAAGUGGAGCCAGGAGAGGGUGCUGUCGGACUGCUUGUGGGCAGCCGGCAAAGGGAUCAGUCAGCUGGUCGGCCCCACUGGGUGGAGGCACAGGUUCCCGAGAAGGGGAGGGGAGAUGCUCCGGAGGAGAGUCGCGUCCUGCCCUUGACCUAGCAAGGCUUUCCGAGGCGGUAGACCCGCAUGACCUGGCCCCUGCGCUGUCUGGCCGCCUCCUGCCGCCGCUGGAGUUUCCCAGCCGCACCGGCCUUGUGCUGCCUGUUGAGGGCUCCUGUCCUUGCCCGAAUAGCCCCACUGCAGCUGAGAGGUGGGACAGAGUCCAGCCCGAAGCAGGUAAGAAGUGGAAACUGUGUGUACACAGAACUCCUGAGAAACGUGGAUGGACAGGCGCAGGUUCAAGGCUGGGUCUUCCCUUCUUAAGCCGGCUGACGGGAAGGCGUGUCCUGUGCUGGUGGCCGCACCCGGGGAGGCGGUGCCCUCUCCAGCUGUGGGAAACAUGGCCAGACCCCCCCCCCCCCCCCCCCCGCCCUCUCUGCGCUCACUGCUGCAAAGCCUCUUUCCAUCCUUCGCAGAACCGAGAGGCUCUGUGGCCUCUGGUAACCGACCAGAAGCAUGAGACACCCCAAGAAUUCUUCCCUCCUGAGGUUUCUCAAGCCAGGGAGCAAGGAGGUACAGCACUGCCAUCAUUUCCCUGGGGAGCGCCUGCCAUCUGCAGCCCAGUGCACGCCCCCCUGCCCCUGCCCAGAUCCCCUCCUCGCCUUCCCUCCCCAGCCAGAGUCCUGAGCUCUGUGCCAGGCCACCUCCAGCCCAGCUGAGGGGCUCUC